AUUGAACGCUGGCGGCAGGCCUAACACAUGCAAGUCCAGCCAGCGGCGGACGGGUGAGUCAUGUCUGGGAAACUGCCUGAUGGAGGGGGAUAACUACUGGAAACGGUAGCUAAUACCGCAUACCAUCAGAUGUGCCCAGCUGGGAUUAGCUAGUAGGUGGGGUAACGGCUCACCUAGUCGACGAUCCCUAGCUGGUCUGAGAGGAUGACCAGCAAGACUGGAACUGAGACACGGUCCAGAAUCCUACGGUAGGCAGCAGUGGGGAAUAUUGAACAAUGGGCGCAAGCCUGAUGCAGCCAUGCCGCGUGUGUGAAGAAGGCCUUCGGGUUGUAAAGCACUUGCAGCGGUGAGGCGUUACCCGCAGAAGAAGCACCGGCUAACUCCGUGCCAGCCGCCGCGGUAAUAC
rnacentral:rRNA from 1 species